rnacentral:sRNA from 1 species
UCUAGUAUCCGAGCUCAUACUAGGGACGGGAAGUCGCGACCAGAGCCAUUGGAGGGCGCGGGGACUGCAACCCUAAUCAGAGCCCAAAUGGCGCAGUGGGAAAUGCUGCAGAAUCUUGACAGCCCCUUUCAGGAUCAGCUGCACCAGCUUUACUCGCACAGCCUCCUGCCUGUGGACAUUCGACAGUACUUGGCUGUCUGGAUUGAAGACCAGAACUGGCAGGAAGCUGCACUUGGGAGUGAUGAUUCCAAGGCUACCAUGCUAUUCUUCCACUUCUUGGAUCAGCUGAACUAUGAGUGUGGCCGUUGCAGCCAGGACCCAGAGUCCUUGUUGCUGCAGCACAAUUUGCGGAAAUUCUGCCGGGACAUUCAGCCCUUUUCCCAGGAUCCUACCCAGUUGGCUGAGAUGAUCUUUAACCUCCUUCUGGAAGAAAAAAGAAUUUUGAUCCAGGCUCAGAGGGCCCAAUCGGAACAAGGAGAGCCAGUUCUCGAAACACCUGUGGAGAGCCAGCAACAUGAGAUUGAAUCCCGGAUCCUGGAUUUAAGGGCUAUGAUGGAGAAGCUGGUAAAAUCCAUCAGCCAACUGAAAGACCAGCAGGAUGUCUUCUGCUUCCGAUAUAAGAUCCAGGCCAAAGGUAGGAAGCACAUUGAGGGGCUGGAGAAAGAUAAGUGCCUGCUGAGAAGCCGGAGCUGGAAGUGAACAGGAGAAAGCUCCGAUGAGCAGUAGUCACUGUCAGACACACCCCACUGACUACAGUACUGCUGCCGUGCAAAGUUGGAAGUGCUUUGUGGAGGUUGAGCUGGAGGUGCAGCUGAGAGACAGUAAAUGUUGAGGAAAUGCAUGGAAAACUAACAGUGUUUUAUUUGAGGGGGUGUCUGGUCCAAGCAUGACCAUUCAGAAUUUGCCUGAGGGUCCCACAGGUGCCUGUGCUUUGCUUGGUUUCCCUUUCUUCCUCCACAAAAUUCCUCCUUCCUGACUCUGACUGAGACCCCAGUCAGGAAGGAGAGGAAAGAACCCCUGGACUGACUCCUGUUCCCACCAUCCAGGGAAGACACCCUCUCUGGACCCCCAUCAGACCAAAGAGCAGAAGAUUCUGCAGGAAACUCUCAAUGAACUGGACAAAAGGAGAAAGGAGGUGCUGGAUGCCUCCAAAGCACUACUAGGCCGAUUAACUACCCUAAUCGAGCUACUGCUGCCAAAGUUGGAGGAGUGGAAGGCCCAGCAGCAAAAAGCCUGCAUCAGAGCUCCCAUUGACCACGGGUUGGAACAGCUGGAGACAUGGUUCACAGCUGGAGCAAAGCUGUUGUUUCACCUGAGGCAGCUGCUGAAGGAGCUGAAGGGACUGAGUUGCCUGGUUAGCUAUCAGGAUGACCCUCUGACCAAAGGGGUGGACCUACGCAACGCCCAGGUCACAGAGUUGCUACAGCGUCUGCUCCACAGAGCCUUUGUGGUAG